UUGUGUAGAUGGAAGUGCCAUUCUCGGGCAUUGAGCUGACGUUCAUCAUCAUCGCCUUCGUCAUCUUCUCCCUCUACAGUCUAGCUUCAGUCUUCAUCCAGCCGCAGGAAGUCGAGCCAGAAGAAGGUGUCUGUGAAGUCAAGAAGUCACGACCACAUAACAGGAAGCACAGAGUGAUCACCAAACACGCUGGACAGAAGCCAUAGCUCUCCAUCAGCUGGAUAUUCAUCUUAAAUUCACAAGUUUUACAACUCAAAGUGAACUGAAAAUUGCUUCUAAUGUAGUUUAGUUUGGCAUUAAACAUUAUUCAUAGUGGCACAGUGUUGAGGAAAUGUCCGUAAUAGUCAUUUUUCACAAUAAAAUAAAAGCAAAUA